GAUGAAGAACGUAGCGAAAUGCGAUACGUAAUGUGAAUUGCAAAUUCAGUGAAUCAUCGAGUCUUUGAACGCACAUUGCGCCCCCUGGUAUUCCGGGGGGCAUGCCUGUCCGAGCGUCAUUGCUGCCCUCAAGCACGGCUUGUGUGUUGGGCCCCGUCCUCCGAUCCCGGGGGACGGGCCCGAAAGGCAGCGGCGGCACCGCGUCCGGUCCUCGAGCGUAUGGGGCUUUGUCACCCGCUCUGUAGGCCCGGCCGGCGCUUGCCGAUCAACCCAAAUUUUUAUCCAGGUUGACCUCGGAUCAGGUAGGGAUACCCGCUGAACUUAAGAAUAUCAAUAAGCGGAGGA
rnacentral:misc_RNA from 1 species